UACGUAGGGUGCAAGCGUUAAUCGGAUUUACUGGGCGUAAAGCGUGCGCAGGCGGCUUUGCAAGCCAGGUGUGAAAUCUCCGGGCUUAACCUGGGAACUGCAUUUGUGACUGCAUGGCUGGAGUGCGGCAGAGGGGGAUGGAAUUCCGCGUGUAGCAGUGAAAUGCGUAGAUAUGCGGAGGAACACCGAUGGCGAAGGCAAUCCCCUGGGCCUGCACUGACGCUCAUGCACGAAAGCGUGGGGAGCAAACAGG
rnacentral:rRNA from 1 species